CCUGUUGUAGAGCUACUGGGUAGAGUGCCCAGACCCAGUACAUGUCUCCCUUUACACUAUGCAAAUUAUACAUAUAUAUAUAGUUCAUUUCUAUUGUUCCCCCCCCCCCCCAAGAAAAGAAGCACAAAGGGGAAAGGUGAUAAAUGCAGGGUAAACAGUGAGUGUUGUAAAAAUAUCCUUUAAAAGAAGAUCACAGCCAGCGCACAAAGACUAGCAUACCUAAGCAACUUACAGAAACUCCGAAGACAGGAAUCCAGAGGAAUAGAAGUCAGUCACCAUGGGAAAAGAGAUACUUUGGGUUUAAAUUAUUCCACCUAAAAUCCAACGCAGUGAGUUGAGGACUCCAGGGACUGACUGUUCUGUACUCACAGAAAGAAGAAAGGAGCAAGGCAACAACCACAGUUUGGCAGUCAAGCCUGGAGUUUGAAUUCAGAGUGAAGGCAGAGGCAGGAGACAAGUGUCAAAGGAGCACAGUCAGCAGGGAAUGCAGAGGGCUAGAGGAGGACAGAAGCCCAUGCUGAGGCCACGCGGGGAACAGAGCAGGAGUGAACACCUGGGAGCAGAGCUGGAGCUGCCCUACCACAGGCUGCACUAUAGGCCCAGUGCUGGCCCCAGUACAUCCACGUCCUGGAGACCCUGCCCCAGGGACACCUGCAGACCCAUCCUGUAUCUCCGGCACCCUGGCAGCUCUGCAGCAGGAGGUGGAGGGGCUGCCAGCUCCUCAACCGUGCCAGAGCAAAGGGGACAGACUUUCAUCAUAGUGAGAGCUUCAAAGACAGCUUCCAGAAAAGAAAUUAAUAACACAAAACAAGGACCUCCUAACACAGUGUCUCCUACUGCACUUAGAAACACAGAUGAGCAAAGAAUCUGUUUUAGACAUAUGAAGUAGGUUCCACACCGGUUGGGAAGGAGAAGGACGAGGAAAUUCUCACUGAAAGGACAUGGAAUAAAGCAGUCAUGAUUCUCCAA